GCUUCGGUUCCAGUUUGUCUCCACCAGGGGGCACAGCCCGGGGCAGACUCAACCGAAACCAACCACUCCGCUUCUCUUCGUACCAUGAGCUGAAUCUGUCCGGGACAGACCAGGGAAGAUGGCGGCUACUGACCAUUCCCGGUCCGAAGCUGCCAAACAGCGACGGCAGGAUCAGCUGCAGCGAUGGCUGGGCUCAGAGACGGAUCGGACGGGAUUGGAGGCCCGGGAAACUUCGAGCGGUUCCGGGACGCGGCGGGCGAAAGUCCGGUUCGCACAAGGAGCCGUGUUUAUGGCUGCCUGCUCCGCCGGAGACCGGGAGGAAGUGGCAGCGCUACUCCGGCAGGGAGCUGACAUCAACCACGCCAACAUAGAUGGACUGACAGCGCUUCAUCAGGCCUGCAUUGAUGAAAAUGCUGAGAUGGUGCAGUUUCUCGUGGAGAGCGGGAGUGAUGUCAACAGAGGGGACAACGAGGGCUGGACUCCGCUGCACGCUGCAGCCUCCUGUGGCUUCAUCCAGAUCGCUAAAUACCUGAUAGAGCAUGGCGCUCACGUCGGGGCGGUGAACAGUGAAGGAGAGCUUCCUCUGGACGUGGCCACGGAAGACGUCAUGGUGAGACUUCUCAAAGGGGAAAUCAAAAAACAAGCAAUAGACGUGGACAACGCCAGGAAGGAAGAGGAGAGGGUCAUGCUCCAGGAUGCCAUGGCAGUGCUGGCAGGAGGUGGCACCCUCACACCUCACCCAAAUACCAAGGCAACCGCUCUGCACGUUGCCGCUGCCAAAGGCUACAUUGAAGUCCUGAAGGUGCUGUUACAGUGUGGGGUGGAUGUGGACAGCAGGGACAUUGACGGGUGGACGCCCCUGCAUGCAGGAGCUCACUGGGGGCAGGAGGAAGUGUGCUCCCUGCUGGCUGACAACAUGUGUGAUAUGGGUGCCGUCAACAAUGUGGGCCAAACACCUCUGGAUGUAGCAGAUGAGAACCUGACGGACACUCUGGAGGAGCUGCAGAAGAAGCAGAACGCUUUACGCAGCGAGAAAGAGAAACAGACUCCUGUUAUUGGGACCAGCCCGCAAAUCUCCAUGGUACCAGUUCGCACACGCAGGACUUCUAUCUCUCGUAUGAGCAGUAAGGAGAAGAUCUGCCUCCACGAGCGAGAGAAGCACCCACCUCCUGCCCUGCAGAGCAGCCCGGCCGAGGAUGAUGAGGAGGAAGGCCAGACGGGGCAGAGCCAGGGGAAGGCCUCCAGCAGCUCCAGCUCGGAGGAAGAGAGCGAAUCGGAGAGCGACGCAGAGUCGGAGAAAGCAAAAAACCGAGAGAUAAUAAACAACUUGAACAAUAAACGCAAUGCCACCAGCCUGCUUCCUACCUCCAUGUCAACGAGUACUGCCGCAAGCCAAGUGAAAAAGCAGGACCCAGGCAAGCCCCCAGCCUCCGAGGCCCCGGUCUCCUGGAGAACUUCUCUGAGAAAGGCAGGCAGCUCGGUGACUCUGGGCUCAGCUGGACUGUCUGACCCCAGCCAAGACCCCAGCAGACCUCCAGAGACUGUUGUGGGCAUGACCCGCUCUGCCUCCAGCCCCCGCCUCAGCUCUGAGGCCGACACCAAGGAGCCGAGGCUCGCUCGGGUACCGCCCAUCCCUACACGGAGACUCUUAAGUAUUCCAGACAACAGCCCUGACAACUCCAACAGUUGGCUAAGUCGUAGCUCCUCUUACACCCGGCGCCUUCAUAGUCAAUCAGGGAAUGAUCUCACUAGUUCCACCCCCUCUUUGCUACACAGCUCAUCUUAUGGAAAGAGACUGGAUGACCCCACUGUGACCUCAGCUAGCACAGGAACAAGCUCUGCUGGACUCAGCCGCCUUAAUAGUAUCUUGGCCCAGAGACUUCCUCAGGAACAGACAGAAAAGAAGGAUCAGUCUGCCGUCACCACCUCCCACUCUCGGAGCACGGCCACAGGCGAACAGGAGGCCAAGCAGAGGCGCAAAUCGUAUCUGACGCCAGUGCGGGACGAGGAGGCAGAGGCACAGAGGAAGGCUCGCUCCAGACACGCACGGCAGUCCCGGCGCUCCACUCAGGGAGUGACGCUUACAGAUCUGCAGGAGGCAGAGAAGACAAUGAAGACGGACAACAAGGGGAGAGAGAAGAAGGAGGAGGAAGAGAAGGAAAAAGAGAAGGAGGCAAAAGCGAAGAAGGGAGAGGAGGGGGAAGUGAGCUGGAGGUCUCGUAUUGCCAGUCUGCAGAAGUCUGACCUGCUGGGCCUCACACAGCCCGCCGGCACUCCACGCCCUCAGACAUCUGACAGGAGAGAUGUUGAGGCCAGCACAGGGGAGAGCGAAACAGAGCGAUGGGCCAGGGAGCGCAGGGAGAGGAGACAAGCUCGGGCCAGAAGGAAGGCACAGAGGACCGGGGAGAGUGAUGACAAUGAUCCCAGUGGAGAGGAAGAGUUUUCAGGCAGUGGGCUGGAUACACAGACAGACCAACGCUUGAGUUCCAGGUAUGAACUCAAGCUCUUUCUUUAUUCUGUCAGCAGAGUCUCAAUGAUAGCGGUGUCUCUGACCUCUGCUCUGCUCGUCUACUCAGGCCCUUUAACGACUGCACCCAGGGAGACGGCUCUGACACCAAUGAUUUUAAGAAGUUGUUCGAGGAGGUCUCCAGAGAAAACAGCCAGCUCCAGUCUCAGCUGCAGGACACCCAGAGGAUUAUCAGUCAGACCAGGUUGGACCUGGAAAAGGCCACACAGAGGCAGGAGCGCUUCACUGACUGUUCAGCCUUGCUGGAGCUGGAAAGAAAGGUAAUGCAUCCCAGCUGAUGGUGUUACCUGUUGUUGUUGUUGUUGUUGUUGUUGUUGUUGUUGUAGCUUCAUCUGCCUCACUACUGCCACCCCUGCUGUCUGUUGACGCUCUCUCCUCCCCACUUGAACCACUUUCUUAACCUGUUUUCACUCACCUUUUGUGGUCCGUCUUCCUCUCUACAUCACCUCCUUUCUGCCCCCCCACUCUCCCUCACGUUUCCCUGACAUCAGGACCGGAGGAUGUUGGAGCGUCGAAUGGCAGAGCUGGAGGAGGAGCUAAAGUAAUACAGAAUGAAUAGGUUCUGGUCGACCUGAGAGCAGACAACCAGCGUCUUAAAGAUGAAAAUGGAGCACUGAUCCGUGUCAUCAGCAAACUCUCCAAAUAGAUGGGGAGAGAGAGACACGAAGAGCAGGGAACUCCCCUCCCUUCCUCUAUCCCUCCAUCCAUCCCUCCCUGCCUCCCUCCUUCUCUCGCUGCUUCUACACAUUCCUCCCAGUGCCAAAGAGUGAGAGAGAAAGGGGAGAGAAGCAGCAGAAUGUCCUAUGUACAUGAACACCACAGCUUGACUUGGAUUGUGAUGCCUUUCUGUGAACAGCUGAAGUGGCUUUUGUGUGCCUUGCUGCCCAUUUGUCACAGGAAGACCUAUGGCAUGAAGGCCUGUGGCUAUGUUGAGAGGCUCCCACAGUAGCAACAUGAGACUCGACAACAGCCAGAAAGCCUACGGCUGGCGCAACACACAAAACAUCUACGACGACUGUGCAUCAGGGGAACACUAACAUGCACACACAUUCCUAUGCGUGCAUCACAUAUUUCCUCCAUGCACAUUCCAUGAGCGCACAAGGCAGCUUGGGCCUUAAAGUUCCCACUUUAGUAUUUUUAUUUUUUUUGUGAACACACUCACGUCACACAUUUACAAAUUUACCCCACUCACAGUUCAAAUCUAACGUGUUGUCAAGCAGUGACCAAGAUUUUGGUGUAGUAAAAAACAGCUCUGAAACACAUUUCAGGCUUGUCUUUACAUUCAGCACGUACGUCCUGAUGACAGGGGGAAGUCCACGAAACUCUGUUGGGUUGUUUUGUUUCCACAUGCAAGUGUUUGAACCCACCUACCUCUCCACCUAUGCACUUCCCCACAUUUUUAUUUUUGUGACCACAGACACACUCCAUGCUCUUAAAAUGACCGCAGAACCAGGUCAGUCGACCACAGCACUUUACUCUCUGCAAAGCUAUAGAAGAUGUACGUUGACGCUUUGCCCGUCCUCCAGACAGACAAACUCAUUACGGAGCAGCACCCUCUCACUUAGUGAGUGGAGGGAGAAGUUACCCAUAGCUGAAGGUCAAAGGUCAUUGCACAAUUCCAGAAAUUGCUGUUCUGUCAAAGCCUAUUAUGCUAUGGAUGGUUAUUACCAUUGAUAAGAUUAUUUUCAUAGUUUUUCAUUGUCAAUUCCUCUCUUGCAAGGGAGCAUGGUUAUGUAUAUUAUAUGUGUAUAAAUAUUAGUCUUGAAUAAUACCCCCUUUUGAAGUAAAACUCCAUGUAGCCUUUCUUCACAUGUUGGUUUUCUAAUAUAUUGAAUGGAUGUCUGCACCCUAAUAAAAGUCUGUAGUGACUGCCUGGUUAUUA